CAAAUUUCUUUAUUAAUUUUUAAUAAAUAAUUUAUAUUAAAUAUAAAAAUAUAUUUAUAAAAAAAAAAGACGACAAGACCCUAUUAAAUUUUACUUAUAGUUUAGCUGGGGAAGCUUUUCAAUUAAAAUUUUUUAAAUUAAAUAAAUAAAAAUCUAAUAAAAUUAAAAUUUUAAUAAAUUACUAUAGGGAUAACAGCAUUAUAUUUUUUAAAAGUUCAUAUUAAAAAAAAUGAUUGUGACCUCGAUGUUGAAUUAUAUUUUCUAUAUUAAAUGCAAUAAUUAUAAAAGUAGAUCUGUUCGAUCUUUAAAAUAUUACAUGAUUUGAGUUCAAACCGGUGUAAACCAGGUUGGUUUCUAUCUUUUUAUAUAUUUUUCCAGUACGAAAGGACAAAAAAAUUUUUAUUUUAAUAAAUUAGCAAAUAAAUGCAUUAGAUUUAGAAUCUAAAUAUAUUUAAUAAUU
rnacentral:misc_RNA from 1 species